CAAGCGGUGGAGUAUGUGGUUUAAUUCGAUGCAACGCGAAGAACCUUACCUGGUCCUGACAUCCCGGAGACCCUUAGGAAACUAGGGGGUGCUUCCAUCUGGAAGAAUCUGGAGACAGGUGCUGCAUGGCUGUCGUCAGCUCGUGUCGUGAGAUGUUGGGUUAAGUCCCGCAACGAGCGCAACCCUUGCCUUUAGUUGCCAGCAGUUCGGCUGGGCACUCUAAAGGGACUGCCGGUGUUAAACCGGAGGAAGGUGGGGAUGACGUCAAGUCCUCAUGGCCUUUAUGACCAGGGCUACACACGUACUACAAUGGCCGAUACAAAGGGCAGCGACACUGCGAGGUGAAGCCAAUCCCGUAAAAUCGGUCUCAGUCCGGAUUGGAGUCUGCAACUCGACUCCAUGAAGUUGGAAUCGCUAGUAAUCGUGGAUCAGCAUGCCACGGUGAAUACGUUCCCGGGCCUU
rnacentral:rRNA from 1 species